rnacentral:rRNA from 1 species
UACGUAGGGUGCGAGCGUUAAUCGGAAUUACUGGGCGUAAAGCGUGCGCAGGCAGUUUUGUAAGCCAGAUGUGAAAUCCCCGGGCUUAACCUGGGAAUGGCAUUUGGGACUGCAAGGCUUGAGUGCGGCAGAGGAGACUGGAAUUCCUGGUGUAGCAGUGAAAUGCGUAGAUAUCAGGAGGAACACCGAUGGCGAAGGCAGGUCUCUGGGCUGACACUGACGCUCAUGCACGAAAGCGUGGGGAGCAAACAGG